GGGCCUAUAGCUCAGCGGUCAGAGCACCCGGCUCAUACCCGGAGUGUCCCAGGUUCAAAUCCUGGUGGGCCCA
rnacentral:tRNA from 1 species